rnacentral:rRNA from 1 species
UUACGGGAGGCAGCAGUGGGGAAUCUUGCGCAAUGGCCGAAAGGCUGACGCAGCGACGCCGCGUGUGGGAGGACGCCCUUCGGGGUGUAAACCACUGUUGCCCGGGACGAACAUCUGGUUUCGACCAGACUGACGGUACCGGGUGAGGAAGCACCGGCUAACUCCGUGCCAGCAGCCGCGGUAAUACGGAGGGUGCGAGCGUUGUCCGGAAUCACUGGGCGUAAAGGGCGCGUAGGCGGCGCGGAUAGUCGGCGGUGAAAGCCCGGAGCUCAACUCCGGGUCGGCCGUCGAUACUUCCGGGCUUGAGCACUGUAGAGGCAGAUGGAAUUCCGGGUGUAGCGGUGGAAUGCGUAGAGAUCCGGAAGAACACCGGUGGCGAAGGCGGUCUGCUGGGCAGUUGCUGACGCUGAUGCGCGACAGCGUGGGGAGCAAACAGGAUUAGAUACCCCGGUAGC